AGGAUGAACGCUAGCGGCAGGCUUAACACAUGCAAGUCGAGGGGUAGAGGAAGCUUGCUUCCUGAGACCGGCGCACGGGUGCGUAACGCGUAUGCAACCUACCUUUUACAGAGGGAUAGCCCAGAGAAAUUUGGAUUAAUACCUCAUGGUAUAUAUCAUUCGCAUGUUUGAUAUAUUAAAGUUCCAACGGUAAAAGAUGGGCAUGCGUCCUAUUAGCUAGAUGGUAAGGUAACGGCUUACCAUGGCAACGAUAGGUAGGGGUCCUGAGAGGGAGAUCCCCCACACUGGUACUGAGACACGGACCAGACUCCUACGGGAGGCAGCAGUGAGGAAUAUUGGACAAUGGGCGCAAGCCUGAUCCAGCCAUGCCGCGUGCAGGAAGAAGCAUCUAUGGUGUGUAAACUGCUUUUGUACGGGAAGAAACACUCCUUCGUGAAGGAGCUUGACGGUACCGUAAGAAUAAGGAUCGGCUAACUCCGUG
rnacentral:rRNA from 1 species